rnacentral:misc_RNA from 1 species
GACGUUGUUCGGGUGAAAAUACGGUGGGGUGACGGACGUUGGCCUCCCGUGCCCAGCUGCGCGGCCGGCCUAAAUGCGAGUCCUCGGCGCGGGACGUCACGACAAGUGGUGGUGUGACUCAUAUCAACACGUUUGCUGUCACGACAAAGCCCGACGCCGGUAACGACUGCUAGACCCUUGGGCCUUCGGGCCCUCGACU